GACGAACGCUGGCGGCGUGCUUAACACAUGCAAGUCGAGCGGUAAGGCCCUUUCGGGGGUACACGAGCGGCGAACGGGUGAGCAACACGUGGGUGACCUGCCCUCAGCUCUGGGAUAAGCCUGGGAAACCGGGUCUAAUACUGGAUAUGACUCCAUGACGCAUGUUGUGGGGUGGAAAGCCUUGUGCGGCUGAGGAUGGGCCCGCGGCCUAUCAGCUUGUUGGUGGGGUGAUGGCCUACCAAGGCGACGACGGGUAGCCGGCCUGAGAGGGCGACCGGCCACACUGGGACUGAGACACGGCCCAGACUCCUACGGGAGGCAGCAGUGGGGAAUCUUGCGCAAUGGGCG
rnacentral:rRNA from 1 species